GAUGAACGCUAGCUACAGGCUUAACACAUGCAAGCGAGGGGCAGCGCAGUGUAGCAAUACAUGGGCGGCGACCGGCGCACGGGUGCGUAACGCGUAUCCAACCUUCCCGUUACUCAGGGAUAGCCUUCCGAAAGGGAGAUUAAUACCUGAUGGUGUUCAAAUUCCGCAUGUUAUUUGAACUAAAGAUUUAUCGGUAACGGAUGGGGAUGCGUGACAUUAGGUAGAUGGCGGGGUAACGGCCCACCAUGCCUACGAUGUCUAGGGGUUCUGAGAGGAAGGUCCCCCACACUGGAACUGAGACACGGUCCAGACUCCUACGGGAGGCAGCAGUGAGGAAUAUUGGUCAAUGGUCGGAAGACUGAACCAGCCAAGUAGCGUGAAGGAUGAAGGUUCUAUGGAUUGUAAACUUCUUUUAUACGGGAAUAAAACCACCUACGUGUAGGUGCUUGUAUGUACCGUAUGAAUAAGCAUCGGCUAACUCCGUG
rnacentral:rRNA from 1 species